UCAUGACUGAGAGCUGCCCUUCAUGGCAACAGAACCCACAGCAACAAUGACUUUUAUCGCCAUCUUCCUCUGGACACUCCUUAUCACUGUUCGGGAAUCCAGUGGACAGGUUACUGUGACUCAGACUCCAGCAGUGAAAUCUGUUCUCCCUGGACAGACAGUCACUGUGAGCUGUAAGACCAGUCCUGCAGUGCACAUAUAUGACUCUAAGCACAGAUUAGCCUGGUAUCAACAGAAACCUGCAGAAAUUCCUAAACUCCUGAUCUAUGAUGCAACUACCCAUCAGACUGGGAUCCCAGAGCGUUUCAGUGGCAGUGGAUCUGGGACUGACUUCACUCUGACCAUCACAGGAGUCCAGGCUGAAGAUGCAGCAGAUUAUUACUGUCAGAGUUUCCACUACCCCAGCAAUAACCGUGUGUUCACACAAUGUUACACACCCGUACAAAAACCUCCCUCAGCAGGACUGCACAGCGACAACACUGGUGCAGCUGGGACCUCAUGCAGGUGCACUUAG